GUGCACGGACUCAGUGGACUGCCUCUUGCCGUCUAGACGAGCAACAUCUUUAGGAGAGUCUCCCAGGUGGUUCUUUGGGGAAAGAAGUUGGAGAUUGAUCGAAGUACCUCAUGCAGAGUCAAAACACUGGCUUCACCUUCUUGUGCUUCCCAAGGACCACUUGAAAAGGGCAAACCAGCGCCGCUCCCCGACCCCUCGCACAGGGCUGGGGGACUGCUGGGGGUGCAGUGUAGGACCCGUGAUGAGGUCCUUGUCUUGGUUUGGCUCCAGAGGCACUGCUGUAACCCUGAUGUUUCAUGCAGACUUAGACAAAUUAUUGCAAAAUAGCCCUGUCUUAUCUUCUGGCAGGCCUGACCAUGUACCCAGCUCAGCCUGUUAAUGAAGCAAUUGUUCUGCACAAUGGAUUUAGCCAUCAGCCAUCGUCUCCAGUUGAGCUUGAUCUAUAAUGCCUGUUUGUAGGCACGGGAAGCGUUCAGCACUCCCAGGAGCGGGCGGUGUGCGAAGUCUGGAUUUAUUAGCCAUCUGGCAUGCUGCUGGGCCAUUUGUUACCGAGGAUCUUGCAGGAAGAGCCUCUGAUGCUACAGUGAACUCUGUGCUGUAGGGAGAGUCAGGAUAAUUUCUGGGAGCUCAUGGCAGGGGGAGUCCUGGCUUCUCAAGUGCCUAAAACCAGUGAGUUUGGACCACUGCCCACCCGCCGUGAUGUUCCUCUUGAACAUCCUGGUCCAGGUAUCCAUGGAGAAACGUGACCUGCUUCUUCCUAGGCUGAGCGUGCCAGGAUGCUGCCGGAGGAGCUUCUGGUUUUGUUUCUUAAGCCUGACCUCUUCCUUGUGCAUUUGGUGAUGCCUCGUGAUGUGGCAAGCAGGGAACGUGCCUUUUCUCUCCAUGGCUGACCUGUGUAGCAGGAAUCCAGCCCUGGAGCAUCCCCUGCCCUUUGCAGGGCUUGUGUUCAGACGUUGAGCUGGGCAGCUCCAGAAAAUGAAAUGUAAAUGAAAUGGAAAGCCGAGGGGCAAGGGGGCUGCUGAAUUCUUCACCGCUGAACUCUGCUGCCUGCAGGAGAAUUGUAUUCUAGCUGUUGCUUGUGUUCUUCUUCCCUGAUUAGCCUGGGCAAUGCACUGGCAAGAUAAAGGAAGGCAAUUUCCUCGGCUCACGCUGAGACCUUAUUAUGCAUUUCCAUGAAGCGAAAAGGGAGGAGGGAGCAGCCCAAGCCUCCUGAAGCUCAGGCCCUGCAGAGUUGUCCAGCACGAUAACCCUGCCAGCCCUCGGGGUGGGCUGAGGGAGGGUUACCCAGCCGCUAAGAAGCGAGGUUAAUGACUCGGAGCCGGGGUGCUGGCUUUCUACUGCUGCCUGGACCACGCAGGUGGCUGAAGAGCAAGGGCUGCGGAUGCAGAUGAGUUGGUGGGGAGAUCAGGAGACCAGACCCGUGGCUCUUCCACGUGAUACCAAAUCUCCUGACGUGCCCUUCCCGCAGCUGCUGAAGAGAGGCUCAACGUGGGGUGACGGUCCUGUGCUGCUCCUGCCUGGAUGUCUCCUCUUCCUCGUCAGGUCAGUGUUGCCAGAUGGGAUCUUGUCUUCAGGAGGAGCCUCUAGUGCCAUGUUCACACUGAUUUUGCUAAGCACCUUGGCUCCUGAGGACAUUUGCAUGUCACAGCUGGUUUAAGAAGGUUUUUACAGAGCAUAGUUGUUUAUUAUGAGCCAGCAUUUGCGGAGUAACUCCAUACAAUUAGCUGGGUCGCUGGUGCUUGCCCUGGGACCUGUCCGGGUGUUAAGAAAUAAAUAAGUUUUAAAUAGAAUGAAUCAUUCAGAGUCAAUCAUUUAGCAUUAGGAUACAGAAGUUACAGCAUAAUAUGGUACGAUUUGGUAUACUGUUUGUCUAGCGUUACUUACUUAGCGUGAGGAGCUAGAUCUGCUGAAGCCUUAGGCUGCAAGCUGUGAGCUUUCACCUAGAUUUGCUGAACUUUUAUGUAGUUAAGCAAAAGAGGGUCUCCAGAGCCAGCUCAAACCAGGAGGGAGGGAGGCUACAGCCGCCAGCAGAAGCUGCAGCUCGGGCGAGGUAAGAACUGUUAACAGUCUGCCUGGAGAUGGAGAAGGAAUCCAGUGAGGUGUUAGAAGAUCCCAGACCAGAAAUCACCAUUGGACCUAAAGGCGUGUGAAAGGCGCAUGAAGAGAGCAGGAGGGGCGGGUGCACAGGUCGUAAGGGGAUAAUUACUCAGGGAUUUCUUUGUUUGGGGUCUCUCUUUGGAGACACCCGGCUCGAGCUGUUCCUACUGCUGUACCCCUCAAUUAAAUUAUUUCUUUUAUGGAAUCGGGAGCCUGAGACUCUGCUGUGGGAAACCUAGGGUCCGAACCGCAGGGAUAAUACCGCCCAGAUGACUGUGUGAGUGUGUGUCAAGGAGCGAACUGGGGCACCCAUCGGUUGACUGGAACCACCCUCUGCGAAGGGACUUGGGUCCUAGCAGCAAAGUCUCGGGUGGUGUGAAAAUGACCCCGGGCCUCACCGGGACGCUCUGACAAUGCAAAGUACCUUAACACGGGGAAUCCCAGACCCACUGGGGGCUCAGAGGUGCCUGCAGCUCGAUGGUCUACUCCACUUGCUGUGGUGACAGCCUGACCCGGCCCACCAUGGAGUAGCCCUGGCCCUUUGGUAUGCCUCUUUCCAUAAUUUCAUCUAAAUUCUGCUACCUUUCCUUGUCAAAACCCGUAUAGGUGAGCUAACGACCUGGGUGCAGAUCGGAGGGUGCAUCCCCUUUACCUCGUCACAUACCGAUGAUAUAAAGUCCAAGAGCAUCACGUUCUGGAUGUUUAUAAAUUAUAAGGGAAACAGAUUUCUCCUGUAAUCCCCUGAGUUUUUUUCUUUCCUACAUUGUGUUAUUUAAUAUGUUAAGCUAUAUGCCAGCCCUUGUUCUUGCUUACUACAGAUGAGGCUGGCUUGUCAGCACUUUCGCCUCCUUCCUUUUCCCAUCAGCAUCUGAGAGCUUGGGUAGAGCUGCUACAUGUUACUUCUGCAGCAGCGCUUUGAUUACCUCUGUCAAUGCAGACUGACAAAAACAGCAGUUCAAUGAGUAUGUCGCCCUUGACGAGCGUUAUUUGCCCUGGAUAAAUCAGGUAGCAUAUCUUUAGUUGCAGGUAAUAGGCAGUAACAUCCUCCUUCCGCAUCAUCUGAAGGUUUCCAGGUCUCUGUUUCACCCAAAGGGGCUUCCUUGCUUCCACCGCAGUGGGAUGCAGAGAGCUAACACUGAGUGAGGAAUUGUGGAGUCUAGAAGCAGCAGGGCUGCUUUAAAUGAGGCUGUUGCCCUCUGUACUCAUCCCAUCUCGAGAAGCACAAGAUAUGAUCUCAAGGUGCAGGACUUCUUCUCAAGCCAUGCACCCAAGGCAAGCUCCAGGUUGGCUUGGUUUCUGUCCUAAUCCAGCACAUUCCCUGCCCACAGUGCUUUCCCCUGGAGCAUCCUUGAGCCUGUUCAGAAGAAGUAGGAACUCCUUUCUCUGACCCCUGCCGUGACGAGUGGCCUGUCCGCAGGCAAGCAGCAUCGUUCCCCAUCGUUAGUGGUCUGAGGCAUGGAAAGCUCUGUCUCGUUAGCGUUGUCUCUUGCUGGGUAAGCGCUGGUCGAGGCUGCGGGCAGGUAGAGCAUCCCCGGAGCUGCUUGGAAACACGGCGUUGAGUGAAGGUCCGUCCAGAUGCUCCUCUCCCAGCAUGGUGCGUGAGAGUGUUGCAGCGUGGCUAGUAGCAACAGAAAAGCUCUAAAAAACUCAUGUGAGUUUUAAAAUGAGCAACACCAGGAGAUCCAGAUCUGCUGGAUCCAGAGCCGCUCUGUGCGAUGCCCAAGUCUCCUCCAGCCUGGCCCAUCCCUAUGCCACACGUGCGACCAUCCAGCCCUCUCCAGAGGAGAAUCAGGCUCCGAGGUCCCCGGGAGGCUGCGAUGGAGCAGGAUCAGCCGGAGCUCAGCGUUGUGCCUGGUGGAGACCCUCUUCUGGGAUGGAGCAGGCCAGCGGGCUGUCCAGGCAGCUUCUCAUAGUCCCCGGAAAGUAAAUCCUGGGAGCGGAGUCCCCACUGCUAGCUGAUUGUAUCAAUUUGUAUUAGAUCCCUCUGAGUGUGUUUUGCAUAAUUUGUUUCCCAGAAUGAAGUGUUUUACAAGUGCAGCGUUUAAUCACCUUGCAAAAGGGGAUGAAAAACUAUCUUCACCCCUGGGGCUGGGAAAUAGCUAGAAGGGAAUCUAGAAAAGAGACCGCGUGCUCACUGCAUCAUAUUAGCUGGGCUGAAAAGCCCAGAAGAGCUGGCGUUUGUGCUUGCAGACAGCCAGGGGCUGGCCAGGAGAACUCAGAGGUUCAAAAAGCCCGUGCUGAAAACAUCAAGCAUGGAGAUGUCCGAGUGGAGCAGAGCCCCGGCGUCCUGCCCAGGAGCUGGAGCUUUGCUUGCCCUCCCAGGGGCCGUGAUGCCUGGCUGAAGGAGGGAGGAGGUGGUGUGGAUGCUGCCCAUCCAAAGCCUCUGUAAGCCACCUUGCUGUAACGGCUCCUGAAACAUAGCUCUUCCCAUGGUCCCUGGCGUUCCCCUCACUUCUGUUUUUAGUGGAGGCGCCCCAAAACCUGGCAACAGAAGUAUCUUCUCAGCUGAGGGUGUGUGUUUCUGGCAAUGAGCUGAAUCCAAGCAAACCUGUGUCAGAAGCAAUGCCGCAGAAGGGAGCACCGCCAGGCUCUGCGCAGGACCUGGCCCUUCCUCGAGGCAGAGUAGGCGAAGGAUGAAAAAUCAGAGUAAUGGCCAAGGAGACAGCAUCCACUUGACUUCUCUUGCCCAUGGCAGGAGUGAUUAAUCUAGCUAAGGCAUUGCAGCAGGGCGAGACCACAAGGUUACGCAGCCCAAAGCCCGUGUGCUCCAGGACCUCAGGACGAUGCUGGACCAGCAGCCGCAAGGUUUGUUCCCCCUCCCUCUCCCUGCCUUGCCUUUAAUCUGCUGCCGGGGGGGAAUAUCGUUCCCGGUUGGGAGCUGGUUCAACCCAGGCUGGUGAAGCAGCGGGAGCCCUGCCGUUACUAAUGAGAUGUUUGCUGCUCGCUGGCUGACGCGGCGGUAGGGACUCGGUGCCGCCCGAGACCUGCGCUGAUAAACCGAGCCUCACGGAGAUUGAGUGGCUUCCAUCUGCUCCGGGCUUGUCGUCUGCUCCCUCUUAUCUAAUAGGAUCUCUCCUCUGAGCACCUCUUAAGCCUCCUCUGUAGCGUAACAAACCGCUGAGGUCUGAUCCUGCCGGCAAGCGCCGGGAAGUGAGAGCGGAUCUGUCUGCCGGCAGUCGCGCUCCGGGGUCGGAGCGGGGCAGUGGUCCAUAGGAGGCUGCUGGAAUUCUGUAUCGCAAAGGGCACGGCUGUCGCCUUCAGGGAGAGGCUCUGAGCCUUGCACCGCUGCUCCGGCAGAUGUUGGAGGAGAACUACCCCGCACUGAGCCAGCAUGCCCCUCGUUUGGCUGUGGCUGUUCGAUGCCAAAGAUAACGAGCAGCUUGGAAGGACGUUUUUUGUUGGUAGCUGGUGAUGCCUGUUUACUAAAGGCUGCUGAAUAGGAAAGGGAAACAAGGUCUUGGCCUCCACACCUGGGAGCACGACCCUCUGUCCCUUGGACACGUGUGGCUGGUGGGGUGUCUGAGUAAUGACAUCCCGGGGAAGAUGCUGUCUGCAGUCCUGGGCUUGAGAAGCCACAAAGGGUGGGUGAUGCAGCGCAGACGGCAUUGAGGGGAUGGGUGCCUGCCUCUCCCCCGUUAUUUAUUGUGCCAUAAAAUCCAAGGUAACGUACAUCAGUAAAUGCUGCAAAGGGUUUCAUGCCUGUCAGCCACAGGUAUGUGACGGAGCAGACACUCUUUCAAGACAAGGGGCUCUGUGAGCGGAGGCUGGUGUGAUUGAUAGGGCAGCCUUCAGCUGCCUGCACCUUCACUUGGCUGUAACAGGGAUCUGCUUCCCCGGAGCACCCCAUCGCCGUGGGCUGGGAAGGCAGGGUCCCUCUGGGCAGCGGGGUCCCACCUGCGUGGGUACCUGCUGUGAGGGGUUUUUGCAGGCUCUGUGCUCAGAGCUGCUCGCCUGCGUGUGACGAUGGCCAACGCCAUCCCCGAGGCAGGGUCGGAUGCCCGGGGAGGCAGGGAGCACUGGGGGGCUGCUUGGAGGAGCCAAGGUUCCCAGUGGCUGAUUUUCCCAGGGAACAAGACGCGUGCCAUCACGCUUUUUAUGUGCCUGUACAUCUGACAGCUCCUGAGCCCCUCAGAUGGUCUCAGCCGUGUGUGACAGCAGAGCUGUCACCAGUGCUGACGGGAGAUGUUCCUACGCGGAGAUGUUCCUACACAGAGAUGUUCCCGCGUGUCCCGUGAAACGUGGAGCCAGGUGGGAGAGGGUGACGGUGAGCAUCACCAUGGAGGGACAAGCCAGCGUGCACACACCCCCAGGACACGCAGGAACGAGUCCUGGACGCGUGUGGCCCUCUCGUGGGUGAAAGCUUGGGCAGGCGGCGACAACUUAGACGUCAAACUUGGGUGAACCAGGAGACAUAAAUCCCGGUAUUUGGGAUUAGUGCAGGUAAUUUGUUUUAAAGACAGACAAAUCCUUUCCCUGUAGGUGCCUGCUUGUCACAGGAGACAUUCCUCACCUCCAGGAGAGUUACCCCAGUUGAACAGAUCCAGCCCUUUCUGGGGACACAGUCUCCGGAGUUGCUAAUCACUGGGUUUGGGGAUUUUUUUCCUAACACUUGUGGGUGAUGGCUUCCUCUCCUCCUCCUCCCUUUUGUCUCUCUGCAACAUCACAGGGAUGGGAAGGACCAGCUGCUGAUUUGAUUAAUGGCCCUUUUCUGAAAAAGCAACAGAGACAAAUGUCCUCCUGAACGUGGCAAAGAGAAAUGGAGAAACAGACCGGCUAAUUUUCAGCUAUUAUUUGGGAACCCAAACUCCUUCCCAGUAUCAAUUUAGCUAUUAUUUCAAAAACUAAUUAAUCUUCACUGAGGCAGCUCCAAGGGACCUGUGUUUAGAUAAUUAACAGCCCAUGGAUUAUGAAAAGUCUUGCUUUUGGAUCCUACUACUUUGCUUGCCUUCGAGAACACGCCUGCUAUCAUCCUGCUUACCAACGCCUUUCAUCAAUCCAUCUUAUUUUGACAAUUAAGAGCAAAUAAUUAGCCAUGAUGGAUUUUGCUUGCUUUCUUGCAGCUCAGUUCCUUUUUCUUUUGGUCCUUAAAUGUUCUUCAGCUGGGCAAUUUUUUUGGUGGUUUUGCAGCUAAUUACAGCCAAGCAGGGCAAGUCACUGCUGUUACCAAGAGGAUCUGGAGAAAGGUUUUGUUUGGCUUGUGGAGAAGCUGGGCAGCAAGGUAUGCGAAAGGACAUCCUAGAAGGAUAGGGGAUGGGAUUUUUUUUUUUUCCCCUCUCCAGUCUUGCACGAUGCAACGUGAACUCACCCCCCAUAUUGCUGUGCCGGCGCUGGGCUCGCCUCCCUCCCUGGGGAAUCUCAUCCUGGCCUCUCGCUUGCCGCCGCAGCUUUGAUCCUCCUGUUGCUCUGGAUGGCGAGAUGUCCCCGAGCUGUCAGGGCUGUGGGAGAGCUCUGCGCAGCAAAGCAAAGGCGAUGGGGUGGCAUAGACCCAGAGGCAGCGGUGGAGUAGGUCUGCAACCGGUGCAGACCCCGAGCAGCUCCCGUCCGUGCCCUGCGUGCUCGCUGGCUGCGGGGAAGCGAAUACGGGCUGGCAGCGCUAGCGGAGCGAUGCCGUGCUUAAUGAAUUUGAACGGCAGCCACAGAUGACAGCACUCUGCCCACUACAUCCACCGAGUGCUGCAAUUCUUCAUUAAGCAGCCCAGAGUUUGCUUGGUCUUCUGCUGAGGGCAAAGGAGCCGGAGCGGUGAGGAGCUUGGCCUUUCAACCCUUUUUCUCAAUGAGACGAUUCUGAGGUUUUCUUUUUUUUAACCUUAACUUGGGGCCAAACUCUAUUUGGUUCAAGGCCAGCUUCACCUGGCUGAAGGCUAGGAGAGUACCAGGGAUGUAUAGUGGCUUGUACAGGGGACUGGGGACCUUGGGCAUGACGUGGGGAGGGGAAAACCUGGAAGAAAAGCUGCUCUGGCUGCUGCCAUUCUCGUGGCACAUGAAUUGCUCCAGACAACAAGCGCUGCAGAAGCAGCACUUUAUCACCUUGAAGGAAACGAUGAAACCUUCCCUCUGCUUGAGCGACUGAGAGGGGAAAAAAUGCACAGAAAGGAGAUGCUGGCAAUUCCCUGCGAUAUUAAAUGGCAAUCGGCGAGGUGGCUCUAACUGGUGCCAGCGCCGGCAGUACAAGGGAGGAAUGGACUUUCGGAUAAAUCCUUGCAGUCCUUCCCAUAUGGGGCACGAGUUGAGCUGCACUGCAAACGCAUUGGGGGCACCGGAGGACACGCUCGCGCUCAGCUUGAUGUAGAGCAGCUCUCGGUUUUCCAUCAAUCAGACACUGGGGUUUUAGCUCCUUAAGCGUUAGUGAUUUCUUAAAUAUAGGCUUGAUUUGCAAGCUUAAUGUUUGUAGGUGUAUAAAGAGUCAACAUUUCCCUCUCCUAACAGGACUUCGAGCUGUGUUUCCUGGGAUCCCGAGCUACUGAUGGACCGUUCUUGGUGCCCUUGCAAAACCUGAUGCUGUCCCCAUGCCAGCACGGGGAGAUUUCCAACCAAACCUCCCCAUCUUGGGGUCAGUUCAUUGAAGGAAGCAAAGAGGAUUUUAGACCCUCCCAUCCCGUGGUGCCUACAAGCCAGAUGGGAGAUGGAUGUGGCCGUGGCCACCCACAUUUGGGACUCUCCAGAGCUGAUGGAUGUCGGGAAGAGUCCUGCAAGCCUGGCUAGGCAGGAAAUCACUAGCAUCUCACUGCUGCGACCAAAUCCUGGCUUAGGUAGGCUUUAGUGCAAGUUUUGCCUUCUGAAGCGGGGUUCGUCUGUGCCCCGUUUUCCUACGCUGCCUGGCAGGGUUUGCCCACCCACGUGCCACUCGGUCGUGCGUGUCUGGUGAGGUGGGAUACAGGGGGAGGCGGGAAAUCUGCACCCAGAGCAAAGCCCCAGGCACCCACCCCAUGCCCAGGAGGGGGCACGGGUGGGUCUUCAGGGCUUUGUACCAAUAUUCCCUCAAUUUUGGAAGGGAGGAAGACGAGGAGGAGAGGAAAUGCUUCCUGUUACGAGGACAGGGUUUAAGAGCAUCUUCCCUGGCCAAACUGCCCCCCCAGCCCCUGAGCCCGUCUCAUCGCUGGGCUGGAGUGGCUUAAAGAGAUUCAACAGAUUACUCUGGCUUUAAAUAGCUAGGUAUGGAUUCAGGCUCAAACAGAAAGAAAUACUUCCUGAUGAGCUGCUUACUUUUUCAAACAGAUGAUGUUUGCGUCUGAUAAAUCUCCGCAGGCAAAACUCCUUGGUCUAGCAGUUUGACUCCUAAUUAAAUAUUUACCAAGAUGGCACCUCGCCCUGCCUCAAGAAAUAUCAUCCUUUCACCUCCGUGUGGCUCUCACCUCUUUUGCAAUGCUGCAGUUUAAGGAGAGCCAUUUAAAGACUCCGCUCCAGUAAAACGGAGGAAAGCAAUUCUCUCUCCACCUUUCCAAUCUCUUUCCGUUUUCCCCGUCUGUGAAUAAAGUUCACUAGAGGCCCUGGAGCUCCCGCUUCUCAAAAAGCAAAGGGCUCUCGUAGGAGGGCUGGAAGUCUCCCCAUCAGGUAGGAUGAUAUCUCCUUUCAACAGCAAUCAAAGAGAACAGCUACCCGGGGAGGGAGCUGGAGCAGCACAGCUCCCCGGGGAGAGCAGCACGGAUGCUGGAAAUGUCACCCCGUGCAUCCACAGGCACUGGGGGAGAGCCGGAGAGGGGAGCUGGGGGGAGUGGGUCGGGCUAGGGGGCUGCUGUGUGGGGUCACCAGUCACCCAGGGGUGGCUGUUUGGGAUGGAUGCGUCAUUCAGAGAGGCUGAGCUGUUGGGGAAAGGGGUUUGUUUUAUCCUGAUUUUAACUAUUUGCUACAGAAUACUCUUUUGGGUGGACCGAGCAUCUUUCCCUCUCCUGGGGCAGGGGAAAAACGAUGUCUGGUUUGAACCAAUCUGAAUUGAAGCAGAACCACGAUGAAGCUGCUGUGGGGGCCCCCCGUGUCAGCUGGAGCCCGUGUCUCGGUGGCACGGCCCGAGGGACCCCAGGUUGCCCACCACCCUCCUCCGACCACAGGCAGCAGCAGCUCCCGUGCUGCCGCUGACCUUUGAGGUGAGGCUGUGCAGGGUGGAAUGUGCUGGACCGGUCCCGUUGCCACGGGGACCUGCCUGCAUCUGCUAAUUGCUGCAGGUCCUUGGGUCCCCCCCCUCCAGCCAUCCCCCCUGCUCCCCAACUUCCAUCCGUCUGCCCAGCCAGCACAAAGCUGGCCAGACCCUGCUCCUGCGUAAUCCUGCCCCGGAGCCCAUGGACUGGGUGACGCCACCUGCAAACCAAGGGCUUUCCUCCAUCCUCCUGCCUCUCGGGGUUCUUUCACAUAGAUAAAAAAUCAAAAUUGGUGGUUUCAGAGCCCCUGCAACCCCCUGUCCCUCACACACGCCUGCACCCCCUGCAUUUAUUUUGCAGCAAGGCUGUAUAAGGAGUCGAUGCAUCUCCCCCGCCCCGCUUCCCGCGCUGGCCUGGGUUUAUCUCCUUCGAAUUAAAUAAGUGCAGAUAGCGGGUUUAAUAAGGCCCUGCCUAUGAAAGAUUACUAAUGAUUUCAUUUCCAACAUGUCGUGAAUUAUGAGGCAGCCCGCAAAACAAAGCCGAGCAGGGACAGGCUUGGCAGCUAAUUACUGUCCCCCACGUUGCCACCGCUGCUAGCCGGGCCUCUAAUUGCUCCCUGUGCCUGAUUGCAUUUCGCUGGUGGUUGUGGUUCAUUCGCAGCUCUUGCUUGGCAUUCGGCUGUUGCUGCUUCUCUCUGUGCCUGUCGUCGUCGUCCCCCCACCUUCUUCAAGUUUAUUAAUGAGAACCUUAUCUGUCUGUGCAGAUAAUGCCAGAAAUAAUUAGUACUCAGUGAGGUCUGUCAGGCUCCUCUCCUCUCCUACCCCCCUGCCCUGAUCUCAUUGCUAUUUGCAGUUUCCUGGGUGCUUGGUUAGGGCUCGGGAGGGUUUUGGGGGGGUUGGUUUAGACCUUUCUCACCCCAUGCAGCUUUCAGCCUUCCUGGCUGCCCCAGGCUCGGGGCUGUGCUGGGAAAUCUCUGGAGGGGAUGCUGGGGAGAAGGGGACCGGCUGCAUCCGUGAUCGCUGCUUAAAAUCAUCCAAGCUUUCCUUGCCCAGGGCAAACGUGGUGCACGUGGGGAGCUGCAGCCGGGUACGUCGGAUGGGUUUGGUCUGAAGGGACCUGGCUGGGGUGCAGGUCCCUCCUGGUCCCAUCCCUGCUGGAAAGCAAGGGACAGCCCCAGGUGUGCACUACUGGGGGCCUGUCCCAGCUCUUCCUGAGGUCCUUUUUUUAUUAUGUUUAUAUUCGUCAUUUCUUGGCUUAAAUCUUUCAGCCUGAUAAAGGACGACAGGGCUUCUCGAGUGCCUGGGAUGGCAUAAAUAAUUCCAGUGCCGAAAGAGAGAUUUACAGUGAUAUAAAUGUCAGGAGUGAGCCCAGUUUGUAUUAAUGGCCUUAUUAGUUAUGUUGCUGUAAAAUACUGAUACUCCAGUUGUUAAGCAGCCGUGGGUUUGCUCUGCAGCAUUAAUUCAAUAAAUUGGGGCUUUUUGAUAUAAAUCUUAAAGUCUGCUGAACCCCAUUAGAAAAUUCUUCAUGAUAUGUCAGAGAUCUUCAAAUGGCUUUGACUGAGAGAGACCUGGGAAUAAAAAAGCUGUUUGCUGUGCAAGUAUGGGGCAAAGACGGUGAGCGCCGCACCUCCGUGCCUGGGCUGCAGCAGCAGCAUCUUCCCAAGGGAUGGGGAUGCUGCGGGACACGGCGGGUGUUGCACAAGCACCCUGGCUACAGCAGCUGCGGUCGUGCCCAGAGCCACCCUGGCCCUUGGAGGUCUCCUGGCCAUGCAGGGACUUGGGGUGGGCUUGGGUUUUUCAACCACCAGCUAUGGAAACCGCAUCUCAAGCUGCAUCCCAGAGGUCAGGUCUGGACAUCUCCCAUGAGCCGGAGGUUGACUCGGCUCCAUCCCCAAGCUCUGGCUCCCCAAGGUGUUGAGAGUAGGUCCCUGGAAGAGAGGGAAAAGGAGAGAAGGCCGGUGCUGGGAGGGUGAAACUGUGUCUAGAGGGAGAAGAUGCCCAUAGCGCUGCUCUCAUCCCUCUCUGUGCCCUCCCCUGCAGUGUCCCUGUCACCGCCUCUGCUUCGCUGCUGUCACCUCCUUCAGCGCAUUAGUCCGGAGCAUUUGGAGGUGCCUUGGAAAAGGGGGGUUGGAAGUAAAGGCACGGCACCCCCAGGCUGGUGGGGCUGCGAGGCUUUCACCCAUGGCUUGGGGAGCACCCUGCAUCCUGCAGUGACGGCUGCUGGAGUGGAACAUCAGCACCAGAUGGGAGCCCAGAGCAAGAAAGGCAGCCGUUCUGGGUCAUGCUGGAGGUCUGUGAGCUUGGUGCCUAGCCAUGACGUGUAAGAACGGGACAGGGGAAUCGCAGGGAGCCUCCAGCGUCUCUUCUCUGCUUGCCACUGUUUGCAUUUGAGGAUGUCCCAGAUCUGAGAUGGUGUCCCUGUAUUUAACGACCAUCCUCAGGCUACGCACGCACCUCUCUCCUGAGCCUCCUGGCCCGGGACCUGCCUGACCGUCAGGUCUAUGCCAUCCCUAACCCGUCCUUUACAGGGUCAGCCAUGUGUUGCCUUGGUGGGCACUUGGGCUGGUCAACGGCAACCAGAGUUCUGCUGCUCCCCUGCCUGAGCACGCACGUGUUAAUGCACAUAAAGCAAACAGACCCGCUGCCUGAGGUGGGUUUUCUUUGAAAUGUUCCUCUGGUGAGGAUUAACUCCUGACACUGCUAUUUGUUAUGGGAAGAGGCUGCAUUUUCCUGGGAGAUGGUGGAUUUAACCAGGAACAUGAAUCUUUCUCAUACCUUGGAUCUCCCACAUCACUGACUGACCAUGUCGCUUUUCUUAUGCCUUGAUAAGACUUAUCCUGGAUUAUUAUUUAGCUGCUAAUUAACCUUGAGAGUGAUGUAAAGGCUUUAAACUGCUGUUUGAAGAUGGAGUGGAUGAUUUCUGCUCUUGUCAAAGAAAGAGGGAUUUGGAGGUAAGAUCCCAGCUCUGAAUGACAUCAAGUUGCUCUCCCCAGGCAGGUGGGACCGGCUCCUGCCUCCCUCUCCUGCCAGCACCUGCGGGGCCCCUCUGAGACAAAUCCCCUCGGAAAUCGGGAACAAAGUGGUGCUUGGGAGGGAUGCUAGCUGAGAUGACAUCUGGCUGGGGACCGGACACUCCCUGUCCGAACAGUCAGAUACCAACAGGAGUCUCCCGCGGGGUCUGUGAGGUUUCUGGAGUUAACAGCCCAGCCCUUUUCUUCUCCCACAAGCGUUUUCCACUAAUAUAUCUUGUUUGCUUACAGACUCAUUGCAGCUCUGAGAGACUGCUCAGAUGUCUCAUUAAUCAACACUGACGAUGGCCGUGCGGCGUCUGGCGGAGCCGUGACGCUGAGGUCCCGAUCACUGCUUCUUCCCCAGCCAGGGAUAUUUUGCAGACGAGCGGCGCUGCUCCUCAAACAUUCCAGCAGAAAACUGGGAAGAAACCACGUCCUCCUUGGGGUUGAAGCCCACAGAAGAUGCUCUUUCUCCGUGCCAGCCUCUUGUUCCUGCCCGCAGGGCACACGGUGAAUUAUGGUUGGUCCGAGCGAACCUGCAUCUUUUUAAAAUACAUUUUUUCUUUCUCUAUGCUUGCUGGGAUCAAGGGCAGCUCCGUGGAGGGCUGGUGGGUUUGUCUGCUGCUGCAUUGAUUUGGCAAAGGCCAGGGAUGAAAGCCCUGAGGCCUCCAGCUGAGACUGUAGAGGUUUUUAGGCUUGAGUUUUCCCAAAUUCUGUCCAUCACAAAGUGAACAAGCACCACCGGCCAGGAGCAGCUUGAAGCUAGAGACAGUUGUUGGCACAGGAGUUGAGCAUCGAUCGCUGGCUGCUGGGCCAGACUCGACCAAAACCCCACUGGUGUCAGGAGGCAACUCCAUCCCUCCCGGCUUCCGAACAUCAGGCUGGGAAGAAAAACCAGCCUGCUUAGAAAGCAAUCGUUUGACAUCAUGCUGGUUUAGAUUUCAGAUGCCCCUCAUCGCCGGUAAUGACCCCGAGCAGAAAGCCUAGCGGACCUCAGCCCGUUUUGGUCUUAAUCUGACCUGGGUUUGUGAUGUCCUGAAAAUGGCAUCAUCCAUCACUGCCUGGGGGGGUCAGGAAGGGGAGGGGAGGUUAAACUCCUCUCCCUCACCUUCCGCCGCUCCCCCGCCGCCACUUUACCUCUCCAGAAGCUACAUGCGAGUACAAUUCACUUUGUUAUUAAUUUCUUUUACACAGCGGCUUUUGAAGUGCCUGGGAACAAGGGCUCGUGUCACGGAGACACUUUACAGACCGGCAGCUGUAAUACUUAAGUGCUGUUUAAAUAGCCAGCUCAUCUAAAAGUAAUAGGCAACGAGCUGAAAGCUUGCCAGAGCAGCAACCUUGUGUGUGCCUAUUUGAACAGGCUGUACGGAGGGGGUUUGGGAGAGCAGGGCUUCUUCCCCAGCAGCUGCCUGGGUCGGAUGAGGGAUGGGAUCAUGUCACCCUUAUACCCCCACGGAGCACCCUGGGGACGGUCCAGGUCGCCAACACGGGCAGAUCGGGGCUGGACGGCCGUAGCCCACGGGUGUCCUUUCACCAGGUGAUGCGUCUUGAUGGAGGCAGGUCCCUCGAUGCCCCUGCCCGCUGGAGGAGCCAUCUGCACCCCUGCGGUGGUCCUUCCUUGGCCGCGUGGGUCCCCAGUGCCUGCAAUCCCCAGGGGAGCUCCACACGGUGCUGGAGCCGUAAGGCAACCUCCCGAGCGAGAUAAAGGCUGGCAGAGGGGCCGGCAGCCUGGGUGGGAAUGCUGAGGGUACCCUGAGGUGUCACCGUCACCGCCCGGAGCGUCCUGCCGUGGCACAUGGUGGCUUUGGGGAAACGGAUGCGCUGGGACCCUUCAUAGGGGUCUUAUUUGCUUUUAAUCUGGUAGCUAAAUUAUAUUCCUCCCAAAUGUAAUAAAUGAGAGUUUUAAUCAAACUCAGCCAGCCAGCACUGAUGUAAUCUUGGCGGCAGAGGAAAAUAUUGCAUUUUUGUUUGUUUAUCUCCCCCUACGCUCCCUUGGAGAUGUCCCGGCUCUCACGGGGGCUCCUCGCGCUCGGCAGCCCCGGAGGGCGCGAGCUUUGCCCUGCUGUUAGCCGAAGCAGCACGCCGUACGUGGGGCCAUCGCGGCAGGACCACCGCUAGCCCACCUGCUCCCAGCCCCUGCCCUUGGCCAGGCAUCCCGGUGGCAGCGGUGGGACCGUCCUCCUGCUACACCUCUCCUCAACCCCUUUCUUUUUGGGAAGAGGCUCUCACUUGAUACCCCCAUCCCAGGAGCCGGUGUUGGGUUCAAGCCCUCCGCUCUGGGUUUCCUAUCACCCACGACGGUGCCAGGAUCUGGUCUUAUGGCAUCUCCAGGUCUUAACUUGUCUGCCAGAAUCUUAGAUGUAUUGUGGCCCUCGGUCAUGGGGAACCUGAGCAUCUUCCCAGGCUGGAAACAGCCCUGGGCAAAUGGGGAUAAAGCCACCGGGCUUCACUGGCAAAGCACCUCCCGGUGUCCAGUUGGUCGAUGUGGCUGGGAACGAGGGGAGACUCCGUGUUUUCCCUGUGCAUCAGAGCCCUCGAAAGCCACCGGAUCCCAGCGCGGAGCCAGCUGCUCCCAGAGACACGGCUCCACUGCCGCCUUUCUCCAAAUGGCUUUUCUCAGUCAAGGCUUUUCCAGAAAUAGCUUGUGUACACUGAGCAGCCAGCUCUGCAAAUAGCUCGCCUCCCAAAACGGAGCAGGCAGCACCAUCGGAGCAUCGUCCCCUGUGUCCCUUCCAUGCUCCUGAGUGCCUCGGCACUGGCUCCAGCGUGCAGAAACCCUCCGCUUCCCCCGGGACACCUCUGCCAGUUGGGAAACGGGGAUGUGCCGGGGUCCUCUGUGUCGGGGCGGUCGUGUCUGGGAUCAGGGAAGGAUGCGCAGCUUUGCUGCAGCUCGCUCAGCCGUGUGCAUCCCGCAUCCCAGCAGGGAAGGAUGGCCGGUGGCUUCCUGGGGCAGGGCAGGUGGCCCAGGGGACACGGCACAUUGCCCCGCUGCCACGGUGGCCAGGCACCACCGCCCCCAGCUGCAGCACUGCCUCAUGUCCCUUCUUAUAUGUUUAUUAUGCCAACGUAAAGGGGGGGAAUGCAGGUUUUUUUUCCUGUAGAUUUAACUCAUUUAUUAAUAGUCUGUAAUGCCAGUAAUAGCUCACGUAUAAAUCUGUUCUUAAGAAUUUAUAGGGCAAAUAUUCCAGCGCCAUAUUAAAGACACAACUCAUAAAUGCCUGUAAGCACCGGCCUGGCGGCUUCGGCAGCAGGAGACAGUUAUCCCAGGGGAGGGAGAGGCGGCGAGCUCACCCCAGUGGCUUCCACCCGGAGCCUCGAAAAUCUUCGGGAAGCAAAUUAUUUCAGGGACUGUCCCCUCCAGCCAGAAGGUGCCUGUGGCCUCCUGCUCCGUGCUGUGCGGGCACCGAGCCCAGGGUGGGUGUCAGCACCAUCCGGAUGCUGAAAUGCUGUUCCCAUCCCUGCAGCCCACCCCCAGCACCCUCCCCGGGGACCCCCCCAAUGUGCCAUCACCUCGUCCCCAGCCCAGGGUGACAGUAUUUACUGCUGAAGUGCGCCGAGCGUAAUUGCUAAUCAGAUACAGGCAAUCAAUUCAUCCCCCCCUCCCCUCCGCCACCGCCUUGGGGAGGGGCCGCCUUUCCCUGCUGAAGGUGACUCCUGCAGGAAUUCAGAUUUAAAAAUACAGGCGAUAAUCAUCAGAAGUUCAUUAAAUUAGCAUCAGGCUCAUUUGCACUUGGCGGCGGUGGGGGAGACGACAAGGCAGAGGGUGGGGGUGCCCGUCCCUGCCUUCCUCCCCUCUCCUCGAUCCCGGGGUGUCCGCAGGAGAUGCCUCCAGUGGGACGAGGCUCCGAGCGCUGCCGGGAGCCUUCCCUGAUUUACACCUCCUGUCCCAGGGCUGCUGCAGUCAUGAGUCAACAGCGCAGUAUAUUUAAAUGCAAAACACCAUUAUCCUUCAUUAAAAGCUCUGUCAUCACCCAGACUGCACAGGAAAGAGUUAUUACGCCAUUACGC